AGAGUUUGAUCCUGGCUCAGGACGAACGCUGGCGGCGUGCCUAAUACAUGCAAGUAGAACGCUGAAGAGAGGAGCUUGCUCUUCUUGGAUGAGUUGCGAACGGGUGAGUAACGCGUAGGUAACCUGCCUUGUAGCGGGGGAUAACUAUUGGAAACGAUAGCUAAUACCGCAUAACAAUGGAUGACACAUGUCAUUUAUUUGAAAGGGGCAAUUGCUCCACUACAAGAUGGACCUGCGUUGUAUUAGCUAGUAGGUGAGGUAAUGGCUCACCUAGGCGACGAUACAUAGCCGACCUGAGAGGGUGAUCGGCCACACUGGGACUGAGACACGGCCCAGACUCCUACGGGAGGCAGCAGUAGGGAAUCUUCGGCAAUGGGGGCAACCCUGACCGAGCAACGCCGCGUGAGUGAAGAAGGUUUUCGGAUCGUAAAGCUCUGUUGUAAGUCAAGAACGGGUGUGAGAGUGGAAAGUUCACACUGUGACGGUAGCUUACCAGAAAGGGACGGCUAACUACGUGCCAGCAGCCGCGGUAAUACGUAGGUCCCGAGCGUUGUCCGGAUUUAUUGGGCGUAAAGCGAGCGCAGGCGGUUUGAUAAGUCUGAAGUUAAAGGCUGUGGCUCAACCAUAGUUCGCUUUGGAAACUGUCAAACUUGAGUGCAGAAGGAGAGAGUGGAAUUCCAUGUGUAGCGGUGAAAUGCGUAGAUAUAUGGAGGAACACCGGUGGCGAAAGCGGCUCUCUGGUCUGUAACUGACGCUGAGGCUCGAAAGCGUGGGGAGCGAACAGGAUUAGAUACCCUGGUAGUCCACGCCGUAAACGAUGAGUGCUAGGUGUUGGAUCCUUUCCGGGAUUCAGUGCCGCAGCUAACGCAUUAAGCACUCCGCCUGGGGAGUACGACCGCAAGGUUGAAACUCAAAGGAAUUGACGGGGGCCCGCACAAGCGGUGGAGCAUGUGGUUUAAUUCGAAGCAACGCGAAGAACCUUACCAGGUCUUGACAUCCCGAUGCUAUUUCUAGAGAUAGAAAGUUACUUCGGUACAUCGGUGACAGGUGGUGCAUGGUUGUCGUCAGCUCGUGUCGUGAGAUGUUGGGUUAAGUCCCGCAACGAGCGCAACCCCUAUUGUUAGUUGCCAUCAUUCAGUUGGGCACUCUAGCGAGACUGCCGGUAAUAAACCGGAGGAAGGUGGGGAUGACGUCAAAUCAUCAUGCCCCUUAUGACCUGGGCUACACACGUGCUACAAUGGUUGGUACAACGAGUUGCGAGUCGGUGACGGCGAGCUAAUCUCUUAAAGCCAAUCUCAGUUCGGAUUGUAGGCUGCAACUCGCCUACAUGAAGUCGGAAUCGCUAGUAAUCGCGGAUCAGCACGCCGCGGUGAAUACGUUCCCGGGCCUUGUACACACCGCCCGUCACACCACGAGAGUUUGUAACACCCGAAGUCGGUGAGGUAACCUUUUGGAGCCAGCCGCCUAAGGUGGGACAGAUGAUUGGGGUGAAGUCGUAACAAGGUA
rnacentral:rRNA from 1 species